UACGUAGGGGGCAAGCGUUGUCCGGAUUUAUUGGGCGUAAAGAGCGUGUAGGCGGCCAGACAGGUCCACUGUGAAAACUCGAGGCUCAACCUCGAGAGGUCGGUGGAAACCGUCUGGCUAGAGUCCGGAAGAGGAGAGUGGAAUUCCUGGUGUAGCGGUGAAAUGCGCAGAUAUCAGGAAGAACACCCGUGGCUAAGGCGGCUCUCUAGUACGGUACUGACGCUGAGACGCGAAAGCGUGGGGAGCGAACAGG
rnacentral:rRNA from 1 species